rnacentral:tRNA from 1 species
AUAUAAUUAGUAUAAAGUAUAUUUAUUUUCCAAAUAAAAGGAUAGAGUUAUAACUCUAAUUAUAUA